rnacentral:lncRNA from 1 species
GCCCCCUUGCCACUCCACUCUCCCCCUCCUCCGCCCCACUCUCCUCUUCCCUCUUCUCGGCAGCCGCUCUCCCACCCCCGGCUGCUAGGGUUAGGGUUCCGCAUUUGCCCUCUCACCCACGGCCCCCGCUCAGCCCCACGGCAUUGCGUUGCCUUGCCUUGCCUCUCCUGCAACCCAGCUCAGCCCAAUCAGCCCAAUCAUCCCCGGAGGCGCCCUGCGUGCCGGUGCCGGCGCUUUGCUUCCGAGUUCUCGUCAUUUGCGCGGUAAGGAGAUGCAUACGCAGCUGCUGCCAGUUGUUUUCUCCGCCGCCGCCCUGCAUUUCGAGGAUUGGUUUCUCACUUUCUUGGAGGGAGGGGUAAUGACUUUCUGCUGCUUUUGAGCUGUGUUGUGUUCAUGGCUGAAGCUCUGGUGGGUGGAUGCGUUUAGUGGGCGGGGCUCGGCACUUUUUAGUCCUCUUCUACCUGCGUUAUUGGAGGUUAAAAGCUGUGGGUUUUUAUCAACUGUCCUUGUGUUCUUUCUUUGACAGUUAAGUGUUACACCUAGGUUCUUAGUUUUCCUAUUAUUACCUGGAUGCUCAAAGAUUUGGCUCUUAAAUUAGUGCGCUGUGAAAGCAGGACCUGUGGUUAACUUGCCAUUUCUGUGUCCAUUUCAGGUUCCAAGGAGUUCAUUUGUUGCUUUUCCGUGAGCGUG